rnacentral:rRNA from 12 species
AACUUUCAACAACGGAUCUCUUGGUUCUGGCAUCGAUGAAGAACGCAGCGAAAUGCGAUAAGUAAUGUGAAUUGCAGAAUUCAGUGAAUCAUCGAAUCUUUGAACGCACAUUGCGCCCGCCAGUAUUCUGGCGGGCAUGCCUGUUCGAGCGUCAUUUCA